AGUGAACGCUGGCGGUAGGCCUAACACAUGCAAGUCGAACGGCAGCACAGUAAGAGCUUGCUCUUACGGGUGGCGAGUGGCGGACGGGUGAGGAAUACAUCGGAAUCUACUUUUUCGUGGGGGAUAACGUAGGGAAACUUACGCUAAUACCGCAUACGACCUACGGGUGAAAGCAGGGGAUCUUCGGACCUUGCGCGAUUGAAUGAGCCGAUGUCGGAUUAGCUAGUUGGCGGGGUAAAGGCCCACCAAGGCGACGAUCCGUAGCUGGUCUGAGAGGAUGAUCGGCCACGCUGGAACUGGGACACGGUCCAGACUCCUACGGGAGGCAGCAGUGGGGAAUGUUGGACAAUGGGGGCAAGCCUGAUCCAGCCAUACCGGGUGGGUGAGAAGGCCUUCGGGUUGUAAAGCCCUUUUGUUGGGAAAGAAAAGCAGCAGGUUAAUACCCCGCUGUUCUGACGGUACCCAAAGAAUAAGCACCGGCUAACUUCGUG
rnacentral:rRNA from 1 species